ensembl:scaRNA small Cajal body-specific RNA 1
AUGCACCAGAUACAGGCCUGACAGUCUAUCUCGUCCCGGAUGUGUUGCACGCUGGGAUUUCCAAUGGCUGCAUGGCUUCAAACGGUGCAAAAGUAACAUUAGCCAUGAGAUUUUAGCUCUUCAGUAGGAAGUAAUACUGUUGGGUUAUGGCUCAGAGGCACAGAU